rnacentral:rRNA from 1 species
GCCAGCAGCUAUAUCACUCUGCAACUCACAACUGGCAACCCACUGAAGCUAAGCGGGUGUGAGCCCGGUCAGUACCUGGAUGGGAGACCUCCUGGGAAAAAGGUUGCUGCUGGAA